UCCUUGCUUAUCAAAUUUUUGUGUCUGUUAUGAAAGAAUUUUGUUUGUGCUGUGUAUGAAGAAAAUAUAUGUUACCUUGGAGUUUGGUGAUAAGAUCAUGUUUCUGUGGUAUCAUUUUUUUCCAAGUAUUUCGGUAUUUUAAGAUGUUAUCUUUUCAGUUUUCACAGCAUGCUAGGAAGAAGGAAGGACAUGUUGUUCUCACCUACCAGUGAAAUUGAGGUAAGCAGUUACUCACUCUCUUGCAUUAGUCACUGAUUGAGCUGGGAAUGUGAUACCAAACAGCGUCCUCUAGUCCCCAGACCAUUGUGACCCUGCAGCAGUUCUGGUCAAUUCAUUAAUCCCAUUUUCUUUUUCUUAGUUAAUGACUACACAGUUGACUCUUGCUUAUCUGCUCCGACGGAAAAGGAAAGAACAGGACAUAAUCUCAAAUGUUUUAAGAAUCAUCUCUUGAGUUUUAACUACAGAAGGGGCAUGUUUAAGAAGGUAAAGAUGUUGUGAACUUUUCAUGCUGUUCCUCCAUUCCUUUGCACCUCACUGACUGUUUUUUUUGAGGGGAACCCACAGAUUGAAGCCAUCUGAGGGGCGUGGGAGGAAAGGUUGCUGGAUGAAGAAAGUCAUCUCUUGAUGAACUCAGCUGGUUUCCACGUCCUCUCCCAGAGCUCUGAGGGACAUUUCCACACACCCACAAGGAGUUAAAGACCCCUGAGCUGAGACAGGAUGGCUGUUCUCAAGCGUGUGUCCCCCUGGCAUGCAGUCUCUAGCCUCCAUGACGCCUGCCUGCCUCACCUACUGUUUGUCUGUGACUCUGUGGCUGCCGUGUGGUUGGCAUCCACCCCCACGCUGGCAUGCCAAAGGAGUGAAUGAACAAUGGCCUAUCCUGGCACCGAUGGAUAUUUUAAUAACUGUGGAAAAUGAGGAAUUUACAGAUGCAUGAUUCAAGCUCCCACUUCAAAGGUCCUCACCCGAAAUCCUCCUGAAAUUAGAAGCAAGACUGCCGAACACAAUGCAACCUUUUGCAUGGCUGCCCCACGUUACUAUAAAUCUGUGUGUGUGUGUGUGUGUGUGUGUGUGUGUAGUGUUUGGGAAAGUUACAUUCCUGGGAAACUGGUGUGCUGCUUUCAUCUGGAAUUUAUGUGUAGCGUUCAGCAGGUAGGUCCCGCUGGGGAAAUAGCAGGUAUGUCAUGGGAAGCAAUUUGCUUUUCAAGGGCCAGCCAAGACUCAAAACAGGCCUGGGCUAUUUGACCAGUUACUUAACCAGCAACUCUACAAGGUUGGAUCUUCCUGGGUCUGACCAGUCCUCGCUCUGAGUGGAGAACAUUCUCUCGCUCCUGGACCUGGUCUGAAACUCCAUCUGGAAUGGGGAGAAUUAAAAUUAAGUCAUCAGCAUCCCAUUCCUUUGUCCAAUACCCCACUUCCUAUCACGUCUCAGUAGAGACUCAAACUCUUUUGAUGUUUCCAGUGGAUGCCAUCUUUCCCGCAAUGGUUCCCUAUUCAGGUCUGGCCUCUCCAGCCAGGCCCAGGCUCCAGACCUCCUUUUUCCUUUCAUGAACAAUUACUACCACUCACCCAAGGCUUGGUGUGCAAGUGAUGAAACCUUGCUCACCCUGUGAGGUAGAGAUUGCCACCUCUAUUUUGUCUAUAAGGGAACAGCCUCAAAAAAGCAGAAACAACUUGUCUCAGGGCACACAACCAGAAUUAGAAGUAGAAGUUCUAACCCAGGCCCGAAGCCCAAACUCACACACUGAAUGAUAUUCCUCCUACUGCUCCCCUUGAAACUGAACUGUGAUAUUUCCCAUUCUUCCAAAUGAGCGGACACCCUGCUAUUUACCACUAACAUAUUUUUGUAGUAUUUGUAUCUUGGUAGGGUUUUCCUGGACACAGCGCCUGAGCGCAAGGCCUGAUUGUGAGUGUUAGAGUUCCCCACACUUUGACAAGUGUUGAGGGGAGGGUGGAGCCUUUCAGCUCUACCAAAUAUACCACCCAGAUGGGGAGGCCAGUGGUUUGUUCUCCUGACUGGUCCAGUCCUUGAGGGAGUUACGCAGCCAUGACUCCCAGACAGUCCUCUUUUGGACACCUUUGAUGUUUGUCUUCAUGACACCUGUUUUAUUCCCUCUGAUUUCAAGGCUGACCAACAUUUAACUUUGUAUCCCUUCCUGAUAUGCAAAAACCUUUCAGCCAGAUUGGUGUCAAGUGUCUUCUAGAGAUUUCCUUGAUCAGGUGUCUCUCUGAGGCAGGCAAAAACUGUGAGCUCCCAACUGACUGGCAUUAGCCACAAAAGCCUGUGCUGUAUUAUUGUUACCAUUUCAUACUCGCCAGAAAACAUUUGAGAAAUGUAUCAUAGUUUUUUUUUUUCAGUUGAUAAAAUUAAGUGUAUUGUACCGUAUUCUAUUACACUCUGAUAUUAUGCUGUUAGAUAUGAGGGAAGUUCAUUCUCAAAGGCCCUGGGAGGAAACUCUCAUACAUAAGCUUGAUGCCAUCAAACAUAAACGUGGACAGAGAGACAGCUGCCUGAAUCUUUAUGUCGUUUUAAUUUUGAGGAAAUUAAAUGAGGAAAAUGGAAUAAUUUACGUGAUUUCCCCCCCCCCAAAGACACAUUUCUUAAUGAAUCCAGACUUUGACAAGAAAAUAGAAGCAAUGGAUGAUGGUAGGAGUUUCGCUGUGGCCAGCAUGACACACAUUACAUUAUUUUUUUCACGAGCUCCAAAAUUAUAAAUGGGAUGGUUAUGCCUGGUUGACUGUGGUAGAGAUUGAUGAUAGUUCAGUGAAGGAUCAAAGAAAAAUUAUUUUCCCAGUUCUUAACCUAUUCACAUUGUUUAAAAAAAAAUCCUCCUAGUUUUCCCUCUUUUUCUCUUCUUUCCCAGAGCAGUGCAGGCCAGGAAGGCCUUGCAGUGUGACUUCAGGGCCAGGUGUUUCAGUGCCACGUGACGCUGUACGUCAUCUGUGGCUGUUGCUGACUCUCCUCGGGUGAUGGAACGCUCUUCCUGGAAGUCUGGAUCAGGGAGGGGAGUCGAAAGCAUGGAUGAAGCUCAUAGGAAUCCAUCGAGUUGGCGGAAGACUUCUCAAAACUCACUUAUUUUCUGCCUUUCUUCCUGUAGCUUGAAAAUAUUUUAAUCAAGGCUGCGUAUCCCUCCUUUAAUUCUUGCUUUGAUAACAGUAUCUUUGUUCUUCUUCAUUCUGAGUAGUUAAAAUAUUUCCAGUAUCAUUUCUUUGGCAUCCUGUGAAUUGUCUUUCUGAAUUUCUAAUUGCAUGGAUUUUUAACUUGUUUAUUUAUUUUUCUUAUUUUUUAUUGAAUAAAAGAUUCUUUAAAUUCUGUAGUGCUUUAUGACUUUCAAAACUAUCAUACACAUGAUUUCAUAUAAUCUCAUAAUAAAUCCUU